rnacentral:rRNA from 1 species
AGACGCUGGCGGCGUGCCUAAUACAUGCAAGUCGAACGGUCUUUCUAUGGAAGCUUGCUUCCACUGAGAAGAUAGUGGCGAACGGGUGAGUAACACGUGGGUAACCUGCCCAUAAGAGGGGGGAUAACAUCCGGAAACGGGUGCUAAUACCGCAUAGUUUUCUUGAUUGCAUGAUUGAGAAAGGAAAGACGGCCUUUGUGCUGUCGCUUAUGGAUGGACCCGCGGCGUAUUAGUUAGUUGGUGAGGUAACGGCUCACCAAGACGAUGAUACGUAGCCGACCUGAGAGGGUGAUCGGCCACAUUGGGACUGAGACACGGCCCAAACUCCUACGGGAGGCAGCAGUAGGGAAUCUUCCGCAAUGGACGAAAGUCUGACGGAGCAACGCCGCGUGAGUGAAGAAAGGGUUUUCGGAUCGUAAAACUCUGUUGUCAGAGAAGAACAAGUUGGAGAGUAACUGCUCCAGCCUUGACGGUAUCUGACCAGAAAGCCACGGCUAACUACGUGCCAGCCGCAGC